CCAAUUUGAAGGGCUCUGUUGUGCAGUGUAGUGAUAGCAUGGGGCAGUGGAAGCUUAAGUUAAAACACUGCAAUCACAGAGCAUACCAAGGGUGGGUUGGUUAGUAAAGAGUGGCUGUAUCUUUGACUGAAGCACAGAGGAAGAGAGGAAAGAAGUGGGCGAGCAUUCGGGAAUGCAAGGCUUUCUCCUUUUGCUGUUUUUAAAAAGAAAUUCUGGAAACAAAUUUGUGUUGUUCCUAAAAUCAGGAUGAUGAAGCUGUUCUGUAUUAAAAACCUGCCUUACUUCAUUAUAUUCUAGGGUUUUAAUAGCUGCUACUUUUCCACUGAGCUGUUCCUGGUUACAUGCUACUGUGAACAUGCCUGUCAAGCAGAAUGGUGUUUGGACCAAUAUACACAUAGUUACAAAAUUAAGUGCAACAAAACAGCUCCAGGAUAUAUUAUCCAUUCUGGAGAUAACACUGCAUCCCCCCUUAACUUGCAAUGCUUACCUCAUCUUCAUAGGGAUGACUGUAUGCUGACAAGGAAACAGGUUUUUGAAUGAGCUACCAGAAUACCAUUGCAAAGCUUACUGUAACUCUAAAAGAAAAUCUCUUGUACUGAUUGUACAUCUCUGUCUGUGAUGCACUAUGAAAAGGAAUCUGCUUCUCCUGGAAAAAGUUCUGUGCUUUGAAAUGAAGCUUUCCUGGAAUUUUCCACUUGCCCUUCAUGGCUUUCAGGUGGAGCCCCAUCAGGAGCAGCCUUCCUGGAAGUCAAAUGUGAUGCACUUUCUCACUAUACUGAAUGUCCUUAUGGAAGUUACUGGGAUGAAUCCCAGCAGGUACCAGGCUCUCACAAGCUGAAGGACAGAAAUGGCCAGUCAGCAGAUGGAGAGCAUUUUCACCAAGCAAUCCAAGCAGACCAGUAGAGUGCCUUCAAAACGUAAGCCCAGAGCUUAACAGUUAUAACUCAGGGAGACAUUUAAAGACUGUGGUUUCAACAGAAACAUAUAUCUGGGACUUCAUUUUGUCAUUAUACUUCCUGACAGCUCUUUGCUUUCCCUCAGCCAUAAUGAAUAGCUUUUCUUUAAGUUCAAUGAUGAUUAAGUCCCCUCCUCACUGCUAAUGACCCUUUUCUCUAAAAACAUGGAGCUUUUUAACAUCAUCAGGGUAUUUUAAUUCUUAUGAGACUUAAGCAGCUCCUCAUGUUUUUAACAAGUUAGAUCUAUUGAUCUGAUUUAAAAUAAAAAAAGUAUUUUCUAUUGCCU
ensembl:lncRNA